AUACGUAGGGUGCAAGCGUUAAUCGGAAUUACUGGGCGUAAAGCGUGCGCAGGCGGUUCGGAAAGAAGGAUGUGAAAUCCCAGGGCUCAACCUUGGAACUGCAUUCUUAACUACCGAACUAGAGUAUGUCAGAGGGGGGUAGAAUUCCGCGUGUAGCAGUGAAAUGCGUAGAUAUGCGGAGGAAUACCGAUGGCGAAGGCAGCCCCCUGGGAUAAUACUGACGCUCAUGGACGAAAGCGUGGGUAGCAAACAGGAUUAGAUACCCUGGUAGUCCACGCCCUAAACGAUGUCAACUAGCUGUUGGGCCCUUCGGGGCUUAGUAGCGUAGCUAACGCGUGAAGUUGACCGCCUGGGGAGUACGGUCGCAAGAUUAAAACUCAAAGGAAUUGACGGGG
rnacentral:rRNA from 1 species